rnacentral:rRNA from 1 species
AGGACGAACGCUGGCGGCGUGCUUAACACAUGCAAGUCGCACGAGAAAGGGACUUCGGUCCUGAGUAAAGUGGCGCACGGGUGAGUAACACGUGACUAACCUACCCUUGAGCGGGGGAUAACCGUCGGGAAACCGGGGCUAAUACCGCAUAAUAUCGAGAGAUCAAAGGAGCAAUUCGCUUAAGGAGGGGGUCGCGGCUGAUUAGCUAGUUGGUGAGGUAAUGGCUCACCAAGGCUAUGAUCAGUA